rnacentral:rRNA from 1 species
UACGUAGGGCGCAAGCGUUGUCCGGAAUUAUUGGGCGUAAAGAGCUCGUAGGUGGUUUGUUACGUCUGCUGUGAAAACCUAGGGCUUAACCCUGGGCCUGCAGCCGAUACGGGCAAGCGUAGAAUUCGGUAGGGGAGGACUGGAAUUCCUGGAUGUAGCGGUGAAAUGCGCAGACUAUCAGGAGGAACACCGGUGGCGAAGGCGGGUCUCUGGGCCGAUAUUGACGCUGAGGAGCGAAAGCGUGGGGAGCGAACAGG